rnacentral:rRNA from 1 species
CGCUGGCGGCGUGCUUAACACAUGCAAGUCGAACGGGGAUAUAUCCGGAAGGGCUUCGGUUUGGAAGGAUGUAUUCGAGUGGCGGACGGGUGAGUAACGCGUGAGCAACCUGUCCCAGACAGGGGGAUAACACUUGGAAACAGGUGCUAAUACCGCAUAAGACCACGGGGUCGCAUGGCCUUGAGGUAAAAGGUGCAAACCGGUUUGGGGUGGGCUCGCGUCCGAUUAGAUAGUUGGUGAGGUAACGGCCCACCAAGUCGACGAUCGGUAGCCGACCUGAGAGGGUGAUCGGCCACAUUGGAACUGAGAGACGGUCCAAACUCCUACGGGAGGCAGCAGUGGGGAAUAUUGGGCAAUGGGCGAAAAAGCCUGACCCAGCAACGCCGCGUGAGUGAAGAAGGCUUUCGGGUUGUAAAACUCUGUUAUAGGGGACGAAGAGCGUGACGGUACCCUAUAAGGAAGCCCCGGCUAACUACGUGCCAGCAGCGGC